rnacentral:rRNA from 1 species
CCUACGGGAGGCUGCAGUAGGGAAUCUUCCGCAAUGGACGAAAGUCUGACGGAGCAACGCCGCGUGAGCGAAGAAGGCCUUCGGGUCGUAAAGCUCUGUUGUCAGGGAAGAACAAGUAUCGGAGUAACUGCCGGUACCUUGACGGUACCUGACGAGAAAGCCACGGCUAACUACGUGCCAGCAGCCGCGGUAAUACGUAGGUGGCAAGCGUUGUCCGGAAUUAUUGGGCGUAAAGCGCGCGCAGGCGGUCCUUUAAGUCUGAUGUGAAAGCCCCCGGCUCAACCGGGGAGGGCCAUUGGAAACUGGGGGACUUGAGUGCAGGAGAGGGAAGUGGAAUUCCACGUGUAGCGGUGAAAUGCGUAGAGAUGUGGAGGAACACCAGUGGCGAAGGCGGCUUCCUGGCCUGUAACUGACGCUGAGGCGCGAAAGCGUGGGGAGCAAACAGGAUUAGAUACCCUAGUAGUC